UACGGAGGGAGCUAGCGUUGUUCGGAAUUACUGGGCGUAAAGGGCCAGUAGGCGGCCAACUAAGUCGGAUGUGAAAUCCCCAGGCUCAACUUGGGAACUGCAUCCGAUACUGGAUGGCUUGAAUUCGGGAGAGGGAUGCAGAAUUCCAGGUGUAGCGGUGAAAUGCGUAGAUAUCUGGAGGAAUACCGGUGGCGAAGGCGGCAUCCUGGACCGACAUUGACGCUGAACGGCGAAAGCUAGGGGAGCAAACGGG
rnacentral:rRNA from 1 species